UUUAUGGAGAGUUUGAUCCUGGCUCAGGACGAACGCUGGCGGCGUGCCUAAUACAUGCAAGUCGAGCGGAGAUUUAAAAGCUUGCUUUUAAAUCUUAGCGGCGGACGGGUGAGUAACACGUGGGCAACCUGCCCUGUAGACUGGGAUAACUUCGGGAAACCGAAGCUAAUACCGGAUAAUCUUUAGCAUCACAUGGUGCAAAAGUAAAAGUUGGGUUUUACCUAACACUACAGGAUGGGC
rnacentral:ncRNA from 1 species